UUCUCGGGUUCCGCGGCAGACCUGGUGGGAGUUAGCUUCUUUUCCUUGGGUAGAUCUGUCGAGCGUGGUUUUCGAUCGAGGGGCAUAACCGAGUUUCAGGUAGGGGUACAGCGAGGGGCAGACCGACGAGAGGCAGGAAGGAUGCGUGAAGGCCAUAUGGACGCGUCUGUUUUUCUUUCGCUUCCGCUAUGUAUU